UGUGUAAAAAUGUAUUUAAAUAAUCUUUUAACGGCAAUGCCGAUCAACCGAGUCGUCUCUCUCACGAGUAACUCUAAGAGCAUGGAUUGAUUGUUUCACACAUUACUUCACAAACAUAGGUUGUAUUUUCUCAACAAACCAGUAUGUACUACUUGACCGUUAUGGGGAAGAUUUAAGGCUAGAGCUUAAAGCGUGAUAUUUAAAGUGACAUGCAUGCAAUUAAUCUAAUUUAACAUUGACAUUUUUGUAUUUUUUCCCCAGCUCCAGCCACCGUGAACUCACCUAUGGAAACUGAGAAGAUCAUAUUUGAAGGCAAAGUUGCCCAGGAGCUUGAAUGCAGACCAACAGCAAAUGCAAGUAACAUCUAUAUCAACAAACAUCUAUAACUCUGGAAGCAGUGUGGUAGUUUCCGGUAGUUUCAGUUCUUCUGCUUCCGCCAUGUCCCUUUCAUGCGGUGAUUCUCCAAAGUAAUCAGAGUUUUGAACGUUACAGCACAAUUUACACAGACGUAUGAACUAGAAAAUUAAAAUUAAAUUAAAAUUAUAUAUAAUUAAAUGUAAUAUUAAAUUAUAAUUAGGCCUACUUUGGGUGGAACUUUUCAUUGUGCAUUUUUAAUUCAUGCUUGGUUUCAAACGUAGGGCGUUUUGGCGGAAUUCCCACAGGGUCGCAUGAUUUGCAUUGCACGUCUUUUUGAGGCGUAUGCAUAGUAUUGAAAUGCCGUGUAACAUCAGUAAAUUUUUCAUUACAAUAUGGACAAUUAUUUGGUUUUCCCUUAGGUGUCCCAUCUUUUGGCCGAGGUGUCACAGGCCUAUUUGAUGGUGGAUAAAGUAGAUUUUGAUUUUGUUGUGUUACUGUUGCUGCCUUAAGAAGUUCAGAUUCCUUUUCUGACAUGCGGUCAGAGUAUAGUUUAUAUUUUUUUUCUAGAAAAAGAAUUUGCUACAAAGAAAAAAAAUUAGCUUAAUAGGAAGUAAAUACGAAGUAACUUUCUCUUUACCAUCUUCAAUUUUUCCAUCGACAAUUUUUGGUCUACUCUGUCCUGUAGACACAGGACCGGAACAGGCGAAGCUAGUUGCAUUUUUUUCGCUUUUAGAUCGACGCAAGCUUUACCAAUUAGACACUGUAGACUUGAUAUUUCCUACAAAGAAAAAAAAUUAGCCUAAAAGGAAGUAAAUAAUGGUACUUCCUCUUUACCAUUUUCAAAUAGUCUUCAUCCAUUUCAAAUUCCACAAUGUCCUGCAGACUCAAUCCCGGAUCCGGAGCGAUGGCACUGUCAUGCAAACUUAUCGAUGACAUUCUCAACGUUUCAAAACUGGCAUCCUCAAAACUCAAGUCUGCUGCAUUCAUUUCUGAAUUAACUGUGUCGUCACACUACCUCUGCAAAGUUUAAACAGAAAAAUACAUUGAUGACUGAGA